GAUGAACGCUGGCGGCGUGCCCAAUACAUGCAAGUCGAGCGAACGGACGAGAAGCUUGCUUCUCUGAUGUUAGCGNGCGGACGGGUGAGUAACACGUGGAUAACCUACCUAUAAGACUGGGAUAACUUCGGGAAACCGGAGCUAAUACCGGAUAAUAUUUUGAACCGCAUGGUUCAAAAGUGAAAGACGGUCUUGCUGUCACUUAUAGAUGGAUCCGCGCUGCAUUAGCUAGUUGGUAAGGUAACGGCUUACCAAGGCAACGAUGCAUAGCCGACCUGAGAGGGUGAUCGGCCACACUGGAACUGAGACACGGUCCAGACUCCUACGGGAGGCAGCAGUAGGGAAUCUUCCGCAAUGGGCGAAAGCCUGACGGAGCAACGCCGCGUGAGUGAUGAAGGUCUUCGGAUCGUAAAACUCUGUUAUUAGGGAAGAACAUAUGUGUAAGUAACUGUGCACAUCUUGACGGUACCUAAUCAGAAAGCCACGGCUAACUACGUGCCAGCAGCCGCGGUAAUACGUAGGUGGCAAGCGUUAUCCGGAAUUAUUGGGCGUAAAGCGCGCGUAGGCGGUUUUUUAAGUCUGAUGUGAAAGCCCACGGCUCAACCGUGGAGGGUCAUUGGAAACUGGAAAACUUGAGUGCAGAAGAGGAAAGUGGAAUUCCAUGUGUAGCGGUGAAAUGCGCAGAGAUAUGGAGGAACACCAGUGGCGAAGGCGACUUUCUGGUCUGUAACUGACGCUGAUGUGCGAAAGCGUGGGGAUCAAACAGGAUUAGAUACCCUGGUAGUCCACGCCGUAAACGAUGAGUGCUAAGUGUUAGGGGGUUUCCGCCCCUUAGUGCUGCAGCUAACGCAUUAAGCACUCCGCCUGGGGAGUACGACCGCAAGGUUGAAACUCAAAGGAAUUGACGGGGACCCGCACAAGCGGUGGAGCAUGUGGUUUAAUUCGAAGCAACGCGAAGAACCUUACCAAAUCUUGACAUCCUUUGACAACUCUAGAGAUAGAGCCUUCCCCUUCGGGGGACAAAGUGACAGGUGGUGCAUGGUUGUCGUCAGCUCGUGUCGUGAGAUGUUGGGUUAAGUCCCGCAACGAGCGCAACCCUUAAGCUUAGUUGCCAUCAUUAAGUUGGGCACUCUAAGUUGACUGCCGGUGACAAACCGGAGGAAGGUGGGGAUGACGUCAAAUCAUCAUGCCCCUUAUGAUUUGGGCUACACACGUGCUACAAUGGACAAUACAAAGGGCAGCGAAACCGCGAGGUCAAGCAAAUCCCAUAAAGUUGUUCUCAGUUCGGAUUGUAGUCUGCAACUCGACUACAUGAAGCUGGAAUCGCUAGUAAUCGUAGAUCAGCAUGCUACGGUGAAUACGUUCCCGGGUCU
rnacentral:rRNA from 1 species